UACGGAGGGUGCAAGCGUUAUCCGGAUUCACUGGGUUUAAAGGGUGCGUAGGUGGUCAAGUAAGUCAGUGGUGAAAUCUCCGGGCUUAACCCGGAAACUGCCAUUGAUACUAUUUGUCUUGAAUACUGUGGAGGUCAGCGGAAUAUGUCAUGUAGCGGUGAAAUGCUUAGAUAUGACAUAGAACACCAAUUGCGAAGGCAGCUGGCUACACAAAUAUUGACACUGAGGCACGAAAGCGUGGGGAGCAAACAGG
rnacentral:rRNA from 1 species